AGAGAGGGGACCUCACCUCGGCAGAGCUGCCCCCUUGGGAGAUGCCCCACGUGUACACUGUGUGGAAAUUCAGUAAGAGGUCAAGAAACUUUGUGCAACGCAGUUCAACAACAUCUUCUUCUUGGAUUGACGGAUGACGGCUCACCGAGAGCAUAUCUAAAAAACACUCUGCAAACAUUUGGUCACAUGCAAGUUAGUGGUCAUAUGACGGACUGCAUUCAGGACAAGGGUAAAGCAAUACUUGCUUUGAAGAAUCACAUUUCGACUCGGUCUGCUGAUCUGAGGUUUUUAGAUUUUAAAUAUUUAUGUGGAAUUAAUUAAAGGUAGUUGGCUAUAUCGCUAUCAUUUCAUUCUUUUGACAUUAUGUGAAUAUUUUACUGGAA
rnacentral:lncRNA from 1 species